rnacentral:rRNA from 1 species
UGGGGAAUAUUGGACAAUGGGCGGAAGCCUGAUCCAGCCAUGCCGCGUGUGUGAAGAAGGCCUUCGGGUUGUAAACUGCUUUUGUACGGAACGAAACGGUCCGGGUUAAUACCCUGGGCUAAUGACGGUACCGUAAGAAUAAGCACCGGCUAACUACGUGCCAGCAGCCGCGGUAAUACGUAGGGUGCAAGCGUUAAUCGGAAUUACUGGGCGUAAAGCGUGCGCAGGCGGUUUUGUAAGACAGGCGUGAAAUCCCCGGGCUCAACCUGGGAAUUGCGCUUGUGACUGCAAGGCUGGAGUGCGGCAGAGGGGGAUGGAAUUCCGCGUGUAGCAGUGAAAUGCGUAGAUAUGCGGAGGAACACCGAUGGCGAAGGCAAUCCCCUGGGCCUGCACUGACGCU